UUAAAUAACCGAUUUUAAAAGUAGCACUUUUAAAAUCGGCCAUAAAAUAAUCAAUCUUAAAAGUACUUUUAAGAUCGAUUAUUUUA
rnacentral:miRNA from 1 species